UUGUCACCCAGGCUGCAGUGCGGUGGUGUGAUCAUGGCUCACUGCAGCCUCCAACUCCUGGACUCAAGCAAUCCUCCAGCCUCAGCCUUUCAAGUUGCUGGGACUGCAAGUGCGUGCCACCACACCCGGUUAAGUUUUUUGUAGAGAUGAACUCUCACUAUGUUACCCAGAUUGGCUGGAGUUCCUGGGCUCCAGUGAUCCUCCCACCUCAGCCUCCCAAAGUGCUGGAAUUACAGUCAUGAGCCACAAAACUGUCCAUUUUUUUGCUUAGGUUCAACAAAGUGUGGGCAGCACGUGGAAAUACGGUUGGAGAAAAAGGGUCUGAUCUAAUGCCAGUGGACUGAGUGGGGGCCCCAGCAAGGCCUGGAGGUGAGGGACGAUGAACUGCUGCAAACGAAGUGGGAGCCGAGGAGCUGAAAGACCACACUGCUGGCUUCAGUUGCGUCUUUGCAGUAGGCGUCAAGAUCAUGUGAUAAAUAAGACAUCCUGCUAAGUGCACAUUUUCAGCUGCUUAUACUGAAAACUAUAUAAAGUUAAAAAGUUUAUUUCCAUAAGGGAGUGGUCCAUUCAAAUUAUGCAGUGUCUCUUGGACUUGUCAAUGACUAGGAUUAUGAUGAGGAUCAAAUGUUUUGGUUUUAGGAUUCUUUUACACUUUUUUUUUUUUUGAGUCAGGGUCUCACCCUGUUGACCAGGCUGGAAUGCAGUGACACUGUUAACAGUAGGUAGCUAGUCAGGCAUGAGCAGGGCAGAAAGAGUGGCCCCUAACCCUUUGCCCCCUCAGGUGAUGCCAGCUGACCCUCAGGUGAUGGUCAGGCGGUUGUUAACUGUCUCCCUAAAAUAACAAUUGGUCACAGCCGGUGCCUGGGAAGGGCAGUCUCCCAAUAGAUAGAAAACACCUGAAACUGGUGAUGAGCAGCUUCCUGACAACAUCUCAGGAGUUGGACAGGUGGGCUCAAGCAUGCGCAUUAAGAGGCAAAAUGGCGUCAUCUAACUGGAAUGCUAGACUGGUAAGGGAAGAAGGCCUCAAGUGAGCAUGUGUAGAACUCCAGUAAACACACUGCCCUGCUCCUCUCCCAAGUGCUGGCAGGCCACUGUGUAUGCGACAGCCCAUGCCUGGGGUGUAAUCGGGAGAAGUAACCCAAGACCCUGGAAGUACGCCAACAUAUAAAACCCCAAGUUGAAAGGCCCAACCCUGCAUUGGAUCUCUCGUUGCCCGCUUGGCCCUCUUCCAAGUGUACUUUU
rnacentral:lncRNA from 10 species